CCGGGGUCGGCCCCGAGGGGGAGGUUCGGCUGACCGGGGUCGGCCCCGGGGGGGAGGUUCGGCUGACCGGGGUCGGCCCCGGGGGGGAGGUUCGGCUGACCGGGGUCGGCCCCGAGGGGGAGGUUCGGCUGACCGGGGUCGGCUCCUAGUACUUUUAUAUUAACUUCAGUCUGCCUUUUGAACUUCUUUGGACUUAAACAUGGACAAGUAAGGAGUUGGAGGACAAAGCAAAAGAAGAAGGAAAAAAAUAAUUCCAGAGCCACACAGUAUUAUCAUUCUUGCUGUUAUUGUUAUAAACAUUACCAUUAUUAUUAUUACUGUGUACAGUACUAUGUGUGUUUUAUUUUCAGAAGAGGAAAUGUUGCGUGUGUUUUUCCAUGUGUGUGCGAGAGGAAAAAGCAG
ensembl:lncRNA